CAGUCGAGGGGUAUAGGUUUUCGGAUCUAGAGACCGGCGCACGGGUGCGUAACGCGUAUGCAAUCUACCUUUUACAGAGGGAUAGCCCAGAGAAAUUUGGAUUAAUACCUCAUAGUAUUAUGAAAUGGCAUCAUUUUAUAAUUAAAGUCACAACGGUAAAAGAUGAGCAUGCGUCCCAUUAGCUAGUUGGUAAGGUAACGGCUUACCAAGGCAACGAUGGGUAGGGGUCCUGAGAGGGAGAUCCCCCACACUGGUACUGAGACACGGACCAGACUCCUACGGGAGGCAGCAGUGAGGAAUAUUGGACAAUGGGCGCAAGCCUGAUCCAGCCAUGCCGCGUGCAGGAUGACGGUCCUAUGGAUUGUAAACUGCUUUUGUACGAGAAGAAACACUACUUCGUGAAGUAGCUUGACGGUAUCGUAAGAAUAAGGAUCGGCUAACUCCGUGCCAGCAGCCGCGGUAAUACGGAGGAUCCAAGCGUUAUCCGGAAUCAUUGGGUUUAAAGGGUCCGUAGGCGGUUUAGUAAGUCAGUGGUGAAAGCCCAUCGCUCAACGGUGGAACGGCCAUUGAUACUGCUAGACUUGAAUUAUUAGGAAGUAACUAGAAUAUGUAGUGUAGCGGUGAAAUGCUUAGAGAUUACAUGGAAUACCAAUUGCGAAGGCAGGUUACUACUAAUUGAUUGACGCUGAUGGACGAAAGCGUGGGUAGCGAACAGGAUUAGAUACCCUGG
rnacentral:rRNA from 1 species